GCCCCCACGAGCUCAGCAUGGAAGGAAGGCAGGGCAGGAGCUGAAGCCAAAGCAGAGACUCAAGAAUCAUGAAGGGGAGCUUCUCACCGCCUUAUCCCCAGGGCUCGAUUUCUUAUACAACCCAGGACCCCUGCCCAGGGGAGGCACCCCAACAGGGGGCUGGACUCUCUCAUAUCAAUCAUUAAGAAAAUGCUCGGCCCCAGACAUGGCUACAGCACACAGGGAAGUGACUUGUCACAGGCACAGCAAAAGUCAUCCGUGCUGCAGGAGAAAUGGAGAGAGACUAAGCCACCCCUGAAGAUACUGAGAACACCUUCAAAAUCUGCACUCACAGAAGGAAUUUGUAGAAACAAUGAAAGCGCCUAAAUAAAUUUGUUAAUGAAGAAAGAAAAAAAGAAAA